rnacentral:rRNA from 1 species
AUUGAACGCUGGCAGCAUGCUUUACACAUGCAAGUCGAACGGCAGCACGGGUGCUUGCACCUGGUGGCGAGUGGCGAACGGGUGAGUAAUGCAUCGGAACGUGCCCAUGAGUGGGGGAUAGCCCGGCGAAAGCCGGAUUAAUACCGCAUACGCCCUUAGGGGGAAANCGGGGGAUCUUCGGACCUCGCGCUAUUGGAGCGGCCGAUGUCGGAUUAGCUGGUAGGUGAGGUAAAGGCUCACCUAGGCGACGAUCCGUAGCUGGUCUGAGAGGAUGAUCAGCCACACUGGGACUGAGACACGGCCCAGACUCCUACGGGAGGCAGCAGUGGGGAAUUUUGGACAAUGGGCGCAAGCCUGAGUCCAGCCAUGCCGCGUGACGUGAAGAAGGCCUCGGGUUGUAAGUAC